rnacentral:lncRNA from 1 species
UUAUGCAGGGAUGAUGUGUGAAAAAGUCUGGACUUUCACUAAUCAACAAUUCAGCAUAGAGUCAGGCCAGAAACAGUACUAAAAUAUUUUUAUUUUUCUGUUGGAACUUCAAAACACAAGACUGGAUGGGACCCCAAGUGGACUAAGUACAAGUGGUUGGUGCCUGUUCAAGAUGAAGAUGGCAACAUCAUCGGGUUGCUGUGUUCCAUUUGUCGGCGCCACAACCAAGCGCAGUGGAACGGCCAGAUGUAUUGGGCGAAGGAUCCAGUGGCAUGCCUGAGGACUGACACCAUCACCAGGCAUGCCCCUUCGUUCCAACACAAACAGGCUGUAUGGAAAGAAAAUGUCCGCCUGUUUUCGGAGAGAAAUGGGGGCAUUGCCCAGGCAUUUCAAUGUGAGGUUUCCCUCCAAAGAGAAGCUCUCACCAAGGCGAUGAAGACGCUGUACUUCCUGGCUAAGGAAGAGAUGGCGCACACGACCAAGUUUUCAUCGCUCGUGGACUUCGCUAGAGACCACCUGGGAUGUGAUGUCUUUUCACAUCUAUCCCAGGGUGAAAAUGCGACGUACACGAGUGAGCGCAUCCUACAGGAGCUCCUACAGGUGUGGAACUGAUCUUUGAAGUUUUUACAUACCUUUGAGUGGAUUUUAAAACUAUCUUGCUUUUUGAUCAACAUUAACACAAUGUACUUCCUCACCACAAACAAACUUAAACAGGUGAUGGCAGACCAGCUACAGGCGGAACACAGCAGGUUACUUGCAGGCUCCACCUACUUCGGUCUGCAGGUGGACGAGACGACAGACAUUACAACAACGAAAGAAUUGGUGCUGCUCACACGGUAAGUCUUAGGUUUUUAUGUUGACUAACAUUCAGUAAACGAUGUAAGCCUACCAAUGUAGAUUGAAACUAGCUGCCAAAAAUGUUUGCUUUAUUGUGAUGCUUUUUUUCCAGGUUGAUCACAGGAGGGGAAGUCAUCAACCGUUUUGCUGGGAUGGUGGAGGUGGAUGACGGCAAAGCCAACACCAUCAGUUCUGCCAUCCUGGCCUGGAUACAGAAGAAGGGCCUGGAUGUGCAAAAACUGAUGGGGCUUGGCAGUGAUGGCGCGCCUGUGAUGACAGGUGGGUAGCAGUUAAUUUCAAAUGAGUGAGUUAUUGUAAAGUAUUCAUUGUAUAUAAAGUUGUCAUUUAAUUUCUCAUGGCACAUGAAAAGUACUCACAAUUUACCUUCAAUGUCUUCCAGGAAAGAGGAAUGGAGUGGCAACACUUCUCAAGGGCCAGAGCAAGCAUCUAGUUGCCAUCCAUUGCAUUGCGCAUAGGCUGGCACUAGCAGCUGGCCAGGCUGGAGAAGCUGUUGCUUACUUCCGAAACAAGUUCAAGCAAAAUCUCGGGGAGCUGUUUCGGUUCU